AGCGUGUCCGGAUUUAUGGGCGUAAGCGAGCGCAGGCGGUUUCUUAAGUCUGAUGUGAAAGCUUCGGCUCAACUGAAGAAGUGCAUCGGAAACUGGGAAACUUGAGUGCAGAAGAGGACAGUGGAACUCCCAUGUGUAGCGGUGAAAUGCGUAGAUAUAUGGAAGAACACCCAGUGGCGAAGGCGGCUGUCUGGUCUGUAACUGACGCUGAGGCUCGAAAGCAUGGGUAGCAAACAGGAUUAGAUACCCUGGUAGUCCAUGCCGUAAACGAUGAGUGCUAGGUGUUGGAGGGUUUCCGCCCUUCAGUGCCGCAAGCUAACGCAUUAAGCACUCCGCCUGGGGAGUACGACCGCAAGGUUGAAACUCAAAGGAAUUGACGGGGGCCCGCACAAGCGGUGGAGCAUGUGGUUUAAUUCGAAGCAACGCGAAGAACCUUACCAGGUCUUGACAUCCUUUGACCACUCUAGAGAUAGAGCUUUCCCUUCGGGGACAAAGUGACAGGUGGUGCAUGGUUGUCGUCAGCUCGUGUCGUGAGAUGUUGGGUUAAGUCCCGCAACGAGCGCAACCCUUAUUACUAGUUGCCAGCAUUUAGUUGGGCACUCUAGUGAGACUGCCGGUGACAAACCGGAGGAAGGUGGGGACGACGUCAAAUCAUCAUGCCCCUUAUGACCUGGGCUACACACGUGCUACAAUGGAUGGUACAACGAGUUGCGAGACCGCGAGGUUUAGCUAAUCUCUUAAAACCAUUCUCAGUUCGGAUU
rnacentral:rRNA from 2 species